GAUGAACGCUGGCGGCGUGCCUAAUACAUGCAAGUCGAGCGAACAGAUGAGGAGCUUGCUCCUCUGACGUUAGCGGCGGACGGGUGAGUAACACGUGGAUAACCUACCUAUAAGACUGGGAUAACUUCGGGAAACCGGAGCUAAUACCGGAUAAUAUAUUGAACCGCAUGGUUCAAUAGUGAAAGACGGUUUUGCUGUCACUUAUAGAUGGAUCCGCGCCGCAUUAGCUAGUUGGUAAGGUAACGGCUUACCAAGGCAACGAUGCGUAGCCGACCUGAGAGGGUGAUCGGCCACACUGGAAAUGAGACACGGUCCAGACUCCUAAGGGAGGCAGCAGUAGGGAAUCUUCCGCAAUGGGCGAAAGCCUGACGGAGCAACGCCGCGUGAGUGAUGAAGGUCUUCGGAUCGUAAAACUCUGUUAUUAGGGAAGAACAAAUGUGUAAGUAACUAUGCACGUCUUGACGGUACCUAAUCAGAAAGCCACGGCUAACUACGUG
rnacentral:rRNA from 1 species